rnacentral:snoRNA from 1 species
GUUCCUGUUUUAAAAUUGCCAUUUAUGUGUUUGUGCAGACGUACUUUAAAAACUGGCAAUAGUAAAGCCAUGUUACGAGCCUUAAGGACAUUGAAGUCGUUAAGGUCCCUGGAAGUGGCUAUAACA